UGGAGUGCAGUGGCAUGAGUUUGGCUCCCGGGUUCAAGCAGUUCUCCUGGCUCAGCCUUCUGAGUAGCCAGGACUACUGGCAUGGACCACCACACUCGGCUUUUUCCCUGGUUCUAACAUCAGAACAGAGUCCAUAACUCUUCUAAGAAGAGGAAGCAAAUCAAAGCCUGGAAUUCAAAGCUUUCUUCAGCAGAGUCAACAGACCAAUAAAGAAAGGGAGUCCCUCUGCCUGUGGCAUUGUCCACACUCACAGGGUCCCACACUCUUAUUUGUUCCUACAGAGUAAAACGAGGCUAGAAAUAC
rnacentral:lncRNA from 1 species